rnacentral:lncRNA from 1 species
CGGCCUGUCACCUCGCGCGCCUGAGCUCCAGGUGGCGCUGCGGUGCGCGGACAGCGCUCCGGCCGCGCCUCCCUUGGCCUGUGGGCUGGGAGCUGGCGGCGGCCCUGCCCGGGCGGCGGCGGGGGCGCUGGAGGGCCUGGUGGCGGUGUCCGCGAACAGGGAGGCGUCCCUGUGCGACCCCCGAGCCCCCGGCCGCGGGGCCUGCCCCUCCUGCCCGCAGCCCCAACAGCACUAGCCCUCAAAUGCUCAGCACGGUUCAUCUGACCGUGGUGACAUGGGCCGUUGGUGACACUGGUUCCACGGGACAGUUAAUUUCUACUUAAAACGACCUCUCAAGAAGCCGGUGAAACCCCGUCUCCUGCCCGGGAACAGCCGGCCUCUCUCUGUGACUGUGUCUUGUAAGAUGAGACUUUCCCAGCAGGAUUCCUGGGUGCACAGGCCAGGUGGAUGAGCCCAGUGAGCAGACCACAAAGGAGACACCUCCUGGCCUGAGGGUUUUCUCUACUGCCAAGAAGCAGCUGAUCGCCAGCAUCCUUGACCUCAGACCUGCCACUUUUUAAGCUCCAUCAGAUCUGCUGCUUCCUGUGGUGACUGGUGGGCCUGGCUGUUGUGGGCAUGCUGUCUCUACUCAGUCAUCCUGAGCUGCUGCUGGCUGGGAGAGAGGUUGCUGGGGGGUAGAUGGGGAGGCUGCCUUAGCCAAUGGGGAGGGGCGAUGCUGGAGUCCUGGGGAGAAGUGGCAGUCAUGGACAGGAAGGAAGAAGGGGCUGGCGGCAGGAGAUGCCAAGGGGAGGGGACCAAUCACCAACCAGCCGCUGGCUGGCGGCAAAGGCCUGAAGUGUGCGUGUGUGUGUGUGUGUGUGUGUGUAUGUGUGUGGUGUUGGGGGAGGCAAUAUACUGUCUGGAACAGAAGUUGCUCAGAGGUCUAGUAUAGCCUCCCCGCCCAUUUUACAGAUGAGGAGACUGAGGCCCAAAGAGGAGAGAGAUAUUGUUGUUGGGAAGGAACCCUCUGACUUCUGGCCCUCCAAGUGACCUUGACUUCCUCCUACCCCUCUCUCUGUCUCCAGGCGCGGACUGUGGACCCGGGACUGCAGAUGCUGUCUCUGCGCACACAGGCACUUCUGUGGCCGCAGCACACUGGUGUGGAAGGCCUCUUUCUCCACCAGCUUCACUUCCUGCUGGGCUCCCCAGUCACCACCGGCAGCUCCCUCUCUCCUUCAAGCCCAGAACCAACCCAGCCUCAAGCCUUUGUUGCCAGAGUAACAAGCCUUCCCUGGGCCUGGGAUGCUGAUGGAAAUGUACUGGGCAUUUGGGGGGUUUCCCAGGUUGAAGAACUGACACUGUGGGGGGUGGGGAGUAAUUUGUGGGGAGGGAGCUGGGCCCUGAUUCCUAGGGCUCUGCUAUCAGCCCAGGUUUCUGCUUCCCAAAACUCUGUGUCUGAGGCCUCAGGUUCUUGAGCAUGCUUCCUGGUUGCCGUGGCAACCCAACACUUGCAGAACAUGAUUGGAGACCAGCUUUGUGACCAUCCCCUUGACCUUGAGAUGUCGAAGGCCACCGGAUGGGCCUGGCUGGACAUAGACCCUCCCCAUCAGCUUCUCCACACCGCAGGGCCUCCCUCUGGCCGCCCCUCCCCAUGUGUGGACAUGGCUCCCCCUUCCCUUUCCCCACACAGAGGGACCCCCAUUUAGUCAUUCCUCUAUAAUCCCAACACCACGCUUCCCUCCCCAGUACCUCCAACACACCACCUGUCUCCCACCUCCCACCCUUUCUCCUCCUACCUCUGCCUGUUUCCCUUGGCAACUCUCUGGAGCCUCCUGGAGACGCCUCAGGACAAGAUGGUCCUUCCUGACCAAAUCCUUCCCACCACGGGGCCUCCAGUCCCAGCUCCCCAAGGAUGGGCAUGCAGCCAAGGUGAAGGUGUCGGAGGCCAGAAGUCUGCAAUCAGUUUCGCUGAGCUGAAAUCAAGGUGUGGGCAGAGCCGUGCUCCCUCCAGGGCCUCUAGAGGAGGAUCCAUCUCCUGCCUCCUCCAGCGUCUGCUGGCUGCAGCGCUCCAAUGUCUGCCUUUGUCACAUCGCCACCUCUUCUGGAUCAUCUCCUGCUGCCUCCCUCUCAUACAGACACCUGGGAUUAGACCUGAUAUCUUUGGGAAGCUGUUAUCAAGUCGACCACAACAGCCUUCCCCCAAAUACACACACAGUUGUGACUGCUUAGUGCGUGAGUUGUGGGAAUCGGCCAGGAAAGGAUUUGAAGAGGAGUCAUCAUUAUCCCGGGACCAGCUAAGCCAAACUCUCCAGAGCCUCCAGGCAGGCCCACCUGGGCAUGGGGAUGUGGAGCAGGAAAGAGUGGAGGGGACAACUGUAUUUCUCCCCAAGUUGUGCAUCCCAUAGUCCUUACCCAAAGGCCUCUCUGAUGCCACCUGCCCUGCUCUCAGAUUGGGAAGCACUAGGGAGUUUGGGUAAGAGCCUGGGGGUAGGCUGAGACAAACCUGGGGGUGGACUGAGGCAUCUCCACCUACCAGCUGUGGUUCUCACAGUGUGGACUAUGGGCCGGCAGCAUCGGCAUCACUUGGGAGUUUAUGAGAAAUGCAAUUUCUCGGGCCCCACUCCAGACCUACUGAAUCACAAACUCUGUGGCGGAGCCCAGCAUUCUGUGUUUACUGAGCCCUCCGGGAGAUUCCGACGCACCCUGGAGUUUGAGAAGCACUAUUUUAGACUUUUCAUUAAGAAAUGUGGAUGGGGUGUCCCACACAGCAGAACCCGAAGGACCUCCAACUAGAAUAUACAACUAUGUACCAGGGGCUUUGGAGAGAAGAAGAAAAAGAUUGGCAGCAGAUGUUAGUCCAGGGCCAAUCUUAAAAAGAAAUAAAACAAAAUGUGGAUGCCAGGACCUACAGCAAACACACGGCAAGUGGUGGGAUUAAACGAAGUUAUGUCCACAGAGGAUUUACUGCAGUGCCUGGAUCUUCAGAGCAGGUGCUCAGUUGAGAUUUGUGGGAUGAAUGAAGGAGCUUUAAAAUGAGUAAUGGGAUGCAAGUGAUGUGGUUUUCAUUCACCCAACAAACAUUUACUGGGAGCUAGGUCCUGCCUGGGGUGCUUUGAAAGGUGAUUCACUGAAGUCCCCAACCUUGCCAGCUCACAGUGAGAGGGGUAAACUGAUGGUCACACUGCUGGGUAAGAAGGACCCCAGCUAAGGGAUGUCUAGGUGGGCUGAGGGAGCCUGAAGAUGGAAGGAAGGAAACCAUCACUGCUUUAGGGGCUGUCACACAUGCGUUAUCUUUCCGAUCUGUGAAAAGAGCACUAGAGCAGAGUCCUAUUUCCUAUAUCUACUUGCUGUGUGACUUUGAGCAAAUCACUU